CCUACGGGAGGCAGCAGUGGGGAAUAUUGCACAAUGGGCGCAAGCCUGAUGCAGCGACGCCGCGUGAGGGAUGACGGCCUUCGGGUUGUAAGCCUCUUUCAGUAGGGAAGAAGCGAAAGUGACGGUACCUGCAGAAGAAGCGCCGGCUAACUACGUGCCAGCAGCCGCGGUAAUACGUAGGGCGCAAGCGUUAUCCGGAAUUAUUGGGCGUAAAGAGCUCGUAGGCGGUUUGUCGCGUCUGCCGUGAAAGUCCGGGGCUCAACUCCGGAUCUGCGGUGGGUACGGGCAGACUAGAGUGAUGUAGGGGAGACUGGAAUUCCUGGUGUAGCGGUGAAAUGCGCAGAUAUCAGGAGGAACACCGAUGGCGAAGGCAGGUCUCUGGGCAUUAACUGACGCUGAGGAGCGAAAGCAUGGGGAGCGAACAGGAUUAGAUACCCUGGUAGUCCAUGCCGUAAACGUUGGGCACUAGGUGUGGGGGACAUUCCACGUUUUCCGCGCCGUAGCUAACGCAUUAAGUGCCCCGCCUGGGGAGUACGGCCGCAAGGCUAAAACUCAAAUGAAUUGACGGCUGAGACGNGCGAGACGACGACGAGGGAGGAGG
rnacentral:rRNA from 1 species